GCAGCAACCUCGAGCUCAACAACGACGGCACGGCCAGCGACCGCCCGCUCAACGUGGCGCGCAAUUCGCUCACCCUGCCGUCGCGCAAGAACGUCGACUUUCGCUACUCGCGGAGGUUCCGCAUCCAGGGCACCAUGGCCGCGGAAGUGAUCGCCGAGCUCAAGAACGUGUUCAACACCGAGCAGGUCUCGAGCGUGACGUCGACGGUGACCACCAAUGCGCAGGGCGUGCCGACGGCGCCGCUGCCGACCUCGGGCAGCCAGCUGACGCCGACCGGCGGCUACGAGCAGCGUCAGUUCCAGCUCGGAUUCAAAUUCGUGUUCUAAAAGGCAAACACGAAGGCACGAAGGGACGAAGCAAACACUCUUCAAAAUGCCAAACCUGCUAAGCAGCACUGGCGUUUAGAAAAGCCACCUUCGUACCUUCGUGCCUUCGUGUUGUUUUCAGAGGUCCGAAUGCGCCGUACUUUGUUCGUUCUUGUCUCUGUGUUCAUUGCUGCCGCAUCCUCGCAUUCGACUGCCCAGCACCAGUUGGUGCCGGUCGCCGCGCUGAAGGGCGAGCCGGCGCUCGAGCUCGCCAUGCGCAAGCUCGACACCGUCGGCAACUUCAUGAUGACGACGGCGCAUCCAGACGACGAGAACAACGCGAUGCUGGCGUACUUCUCGCACGGGAAGGGGUAUCGCACGUCGCUCGUCACGGCAACGCAUGGCGAAGGCGGGCAGAACGAGAUUGGCCCCGAGCUGUUCGUGCCGCUCGCGGUGCUGCGCACCGAGGAAUUGCUGGCCGCGCAUCGUUUCGACGGCGCGGAUCAAUACUUCGCGCGCGCGAUUGAUUUUGGCUUCUCGUUCAGCGUCGAAGAGACGUUCGAGAAGUGGGGCCACGACGAGAUCCUCGGCGACUUCGUUCGCCACAUCCGCACCAUUCGCCCGGACGUGAUCGUCGGCUUCGUGUUCGACGGCGAUGGCGGCGGCCAGCAUCACCAGGCCUCGACGCGGCUGGCGCUCGAGGCGUUUCGCGCCGCGGCCGAUCCAG
rnacentral:misc_RNA from 1 species